AUGGAUUCCCUCGCGACGUCCACGGCCCGGAGAUGGGCGCUCUGCGCCCUCCUCUGCCUCUGCCUCUUCUCCGCCGGCCUCCUCCUCGGCUCCCGCCCCUUCUUCUUCCCCGCGCUGCUGCCGCCGCCGUGGGAGCACUUCUCCAGACUGCAGCAGCAGCCCGCUCCCCGUCCUCCUCCUCAUGCUGCGACUGCUGCUGCUUACCAUGACCACGACGACUCCACCGCGCCAGCGCCGGACGCCGGCUCCGGAUAUCCCGGCAGCGAGGAGGAGGAGGAGCAAGACGAGGAGCUUGCAGCGGCACCCGCGCCCGCGCCAGCAUCGGGCGGCGACGGAGAGGGGAGGGAGUGCGACGUGUUCGACGGGAGCUGGGUGCGCGACCCGGCGAGGUACCCGCUGUACGAGGCGGCGGAGUGCCCGUUCCUCAGCGACCAGGUCACCUGCCGGAGGAACGGCCGCCCGGACGCCGGCUACGAGCAGUGGCGGUGGCAGCCGAGGGGCUGCGGCGGCGGCGCGAGGCUCGACGGCGCCGGGGCGCUGGAGCAGUUGCGGAACAGGCGGGUGGUGUUCGUGGGCGACUCGCUCAACAGGAACAUGUGGGAGUCGCUGGCCUGCAUCCUCUACACGGCGCUGCCCGACCGCUCGCGGGCGCGCGUUCACCACGCCAGUUCCGAGCACAAGAUCUUCCGCGCCAUGGAUUACAACUGCUCUGUGGAGUUCUUCUGGAGCCCGUUCCUGGUGCAGCUUGAGACCAAGCCAGACCGGACCAAGGUGCUCAAGCUGGACCAGCUCCCGGCCAUGCUUCAGAAGGUGAUCGGGGCAGACGUCCUCGUCUUCAACACCGGCCACUGGUGGACGCACACCGGCAAGCUCAGGGCCUGGGACCAUCUGGAGAGAAACGGGAUGCUGGUGAAGAUGGAAGGAGAGGAAGCAUUCAGCAGAGCGCUGAGGACAUGGGCGAGAUGGGUGGAUCACAACGUGGACCAGACCAGAACCAGGGUCUUCUUCCGAAGCGUCUCGCCUGAACACAAAGGUGCGAACUGGUGCUACAAUCUGACGGCCCCCAUCGCCGCGGACGAAGCGAUCGUUCCAUGGUUCCCGAAGAGCAUGGUGUCCAUCGUCGAGGGGAGCAUACGGAGCAUGAGGACGCCGGCCACGUACCUGAACAUCACGCGCCUUUCCGAGCUCAGGAUCGACGCGCACCCUUCGGUGUACUCGAUCAACAGGGAUGGGAAGCCUCUGUCGUUGGAGCAACGGCGGCAGCCGGUGGUGUAUGCUGACUGCAGCCACUGGUGCCUGCCAGGGUUGCCUGAUACUUGGAAUGUGCUUUUGCUUGCUUCCUUGACGAGAUAUCCCUCCUCUAAUGUACACUUGUAG
rnacentral:rRNA from 1 species